GGGUUGUGAGGUUAAGCGACUAAGCGUACACGGUGGAUGCCCUGGCAGUCAGAGGCGAUGAAGGACGUGCUAAUCUGCGAUAAGCGUCGGUAAGGUGAUAUGAACCGUUAUAACCGGCGAUUUCCGAAUGGGGAAACCCAGUGUGAUUCGUCACACUAUCAUUACGUGAAUACAUAGCGUAAUGAAGCGAACCGGGGGAACUGAAACAUCUAAGUACCCCGAGGAAAAGAAAUCAACCGAGAUUCCCCCAGUAGCGGCGAGCGAACGGGGAGCAGCCCAGAGUCUGAAUCAGCUUGUGUGUUAGUGGAACGGUCUGGAAAGUCCGACGGUACAGGGUGAUAGUCCCGUACACCAAAAUGCACAGGUUGUGAACUCGAAGAGUAGGGCGGGACACGUGGUAUCCUGUCUGAAUAUGGGGGGACCAUCCUCCAAGGCUAAAUACUCCUGACUGACCGAUAGUGAACCAGUACCGUGAGGGAAAGGCGAAAAGAACCCCGGCGAGGGGAGUGAAAAAGAACCUGAAACCGUGUACGUACAAGCAGUGGGAGCNNNNNNNNNNNNNNGACUGCGUACCUUUUGUAUAAUGGGUCAGCGACUUAUAUUCUGUAGCAAGGUUAACCGUAUAGGGGAGCCGAAGGGAAACCGAGUCUUAACUGGGCGUUAAGUUGCAGGGUAUAGACCCGAAACCCGGUGAUCUAGCCAUGGGCAGGUUGAAGGUUGGGUAACACUAACUGGAGGACCGAACCGACUAAUGUUGAAAAAUUAGCGGAUGACUUGUGGCUGGGGGUGAAAGGCCAAUCAAACCGGGAGAUAGCUGGUUCUCCCCGAAAGCUAUUUAGGUAGCGCCUCGUGAACUCAUCUUCGGGGGUAGAGCACUGUUUCGGCUAGGGGGUCAUCCCGACUUACCAACCCGAUGCAAACUGCGAAUACCGAAGAAUGUUAUCACGGGAGACACACGGCGGGUGCUAACGUCCGUCGUGAAGAGGGAAACAACCCAGACCGCCAGCUAAGGUCCCAAAGUCAUGGUUAAGUGGGAAACGAUGUGGGAAGGCACAGACAGCCAGGAUGUUGGCUUAGAAGCAGCCAUCAUUUAAAGAAAGCGUAAUAGCUCACUGGUCGAGUCGGCCUGCGCGGAAGAUGUAACGGGGCUAAACCAUGCACCGAAGCUGCGGCAGCGACACUAUGUGUUGUUGGGUAGGGGAGCGUUCUGUAAGCCGUUGAAGGUGUAUCGUGAGGUAUGCUGGAGGUAUCAGAAGUGCGAAUGCUGACAUAAGUAACGAUAAUGCGGGUGAAAAACCCGCACGCCGGAAGACCAAGGGUUCCUGUCCAACGUUAAUCGGGGCAGGGUGAGUCGACCCCUAAGGCGAGGCCGAAAGGCGUAGUCGAUGGGAAACAGGUUAAUAUUCCUGUACUUGGUGUUACUGCGAAGGGGGGACGGAGAAGGCUAUGUUAGCCGGGCGACGGUUGUCCCGGUUUAAGCAUGUAGGCGGAGGUUCCAGGUAAAUCCGGUACCUUUUUAACGCUGAGGUGUGAUGACGAGGCACUACGGUGCUGAAGUAACAAAUGCCCUGCUUCCAGGAAAAGCCUCUAAGCAUCAGGUAACACGAAAUCGUACCCCAAACCGACACAGGUGGUCAGGUAGAGAAUACCAAGGCGCUUGAGAGAACUCGGGUGAAGGAACUAGGCAAAAUGGUGCCGUAACUUCGGGAGAAGGCACGCUGAUAUGUAGGUGAAGUGAUUUACUCAUGGAGCUGAAAUCAGUCGAAGAUACCAGCUGGCUGCAACUGUUUAUUAAAAACACAGCACUGUGCAAACACGAAAGUGGACGUAUACGGUGUGACGCCUGCCCGGUGCCGGAAGGUUAAUUGAUGGGGUUAUCCGUAAGGAGAAGCUCUUGAUCGAAGCCCCGGUAAACGGCGGCCGUAACUAUAACGGUCCUAAGGUAGCGAAAUUCCUUGUCGGGUAAGUUCCGACCUGCACGAAUGGCGUAAUGAUGGCCAGGCUGUCUCCACCCGAGACUCAGUGAAAUUGAACUCGCUGUGAAGAUGCAGUGUACCCGCGGCAAGACGGAAAGACCCCGUGAACCUUUACUAUAGCUUGACACUGAACACUGGUCCUUGAUGUGUAGGAUAGGUGGGAGGCUUUGAAGUGUGGACGCCAGUCUGCAUGGAGCCAUCCUUGAAAUACCACCCUUUAAUGGCUGGUGUUCUAACGUGGACCCGUAAUCCGGGUUGCGGACAGUGUCUGGUGGGUAGUUUGACUGGGGCGGUCUCCUCCUAAAGAGUAACGGAGGAGCACGAAGGUUAGCUAAUCCUGGUCGGACAUCAGGAGGUUAGUGCAAAGGCAUAAGCUAGCUUGACUGCGAGAGUGACGGCUCGAGCAGGUGCGAAAGCAGGUCUUAGUGAUCCGGUGGUUCUGAAUGGAAGGGCCAUCGCUCAACGGAUAAAAGGUACUCCGGGGAUAACAGGCUGAUACCGCCCAAGAGUUCAUAUCGACGGCGGUGUUUGGCACCUCGAUGUCGGCUCAUCACAUCCUGGGGCUGAAGUAGGUCCCAAGGGUAUGGCUGUUCGCCAUUUAAAGUGGUACGCGAGCUGGGUUUAGAACGUCGUGAGACAGUUCGGUCCCUAUCUGCCGUGGGCGCUGGAGAAUUGAGGGGGGCUGCUCCUAGUACGAGAGGACCGGAGUGGACGCAUCACUGGUGUUCGGGUUGUCAUGCCAAUGGCAUUGCCCGGUAGCUAAAUGCGGAAGAGAUAAGUGCUGAAAGCAUCUAAGCACGAAACUUGCCCCGAGAUGAGUUCUCCCUGAGACUUUAAGUCUCCUGAAGGAACGUUAAAGACGAUGACGUUGAUAGGUCGGGUGUGUAAGUGUAGCGAUACAUUGAGCUAACCGAUACUAAUGAACCGUGAGGCUUAACCUUACAACGCCGAAG
rnacentral:rRNA from 1 species